GACGAACGCUGGCGGCGUGCUUAACACAUGCAAGUCGAACGGAAAGGCCCUGCUUUUGUGGGGUGCUCGAGUGGCGAACGGGUGAGUAACACGUGAGUAACCUGCCCUUGACUUUGGGAUAACUUCAGGAAACUGGGGCUAAUACCGGAUAGGAGCUCCUGCUGCAUGGUGGGGGUUGGAAAGUUUCGGCGGUUGGGGAUGGACUCGCGGCUUAUCAGCUUGUUGGUGGGGUAGUGGCUUACCAAGGCUUUGACGGGUAGCCGGCCUGAGAGGGUGACCGGCCACAUUGGGACUGAGAUACGGCCCAGACUCCUACGGGAGGCAGCAGUGGGGAAUAUUGCACAAUGGGCGGAAGCCUGAUGCAGCAACGCCGCGUGCGGGAUGACGGCCUUCGGGUUGUAAACCGCUUUCGCCUGUGACGAAGCGUGAGUGACGGUAAUGGGUAAAGAAGCACCGGCUAACUACGUGCCAGCAGCCGCGGUGAUACGUAGGGUGCGAGCGUUGUCCGGAUUUAUUGGGCGUAAAGGGCUCGUAGGUGGUUGAUCGCGUCGGAAGUGUAAUCUUGGGGCUUAACCCUGAGCGUGCUUUCGAUACGGGUUGACUUGAGGAAGGUAGGGGAGAAUGGAAUUCCUGGUGGAGCGGUGGAAUGCGCAGAUAUCAGGAGGAACACCAGUGGCGAAGGCGGUUCUCUGGGCCUUUCCUGACGCUUGAGGAGCGAAAGCGUGGGGAGCGAACAGGCUUAGAUACCCUGGUAGUCCACGCUGUAAACGGUGGGUACUAGGUGUGGGGUCCAUUCCACGGGUUCCGUGCCGUAGCUAACGCUUUAAGUACCCCGCCUGGGGAGUACGGCCGCAAGGCUAAAACUCAAAGGAAUUGACGGGGCCCCGCACAAGCGGCGGAGCAUGCGGAUUAAUUCGAUGCAACGCGUAGAACCUUACCUGGGUUUGACAUGGAUCGGGAGUGCUCAGAGAUGGGUGUGCCUCUUUUGGGGUCGGUUCACAGGUGGUGCAUGCCUGUCGUCAGCUCGUGUCGUGAGAUGUUGGGUUAAGUCCCGCAACGAGCGCAACCCUUGUUCGCUGUUGCCAGCACGUUAUGGUGGGGACUCAGUGGAGACCGCCGGGGUCAACUCGGAGGAAGGUGGGGAUGACGUCAAGUCCUCAUGCCCCUUAUGUCCAGGGCUUCACGCAUGCUACAAUGGCUGGUACAGAGAGUGGCGAGCCUGUGAGGGUGAGCGAAUCUCGGAAAGCCGGUCUCAGUUCGGAUUGGGGUCUGCAACUCGACCUCAUGAAGUCGGAGUCGCUAGUAAUCGCAGAUCAGCAACGCUGCGGUGAAUACGUUCCCGGGGCUUGUACACACCGCCCGUCAAGUCAUGAAAGUUGGUAACACCCGAAGCCGGUGGCCUAACCGUUGUGGGGGAGCCGUCGAAGGUGGGACUGGUGAUUAGGACUAAGU
rnacentral:rRNA from 1 species